AAACAUCUAUGCGCAUAGCUAGCAUAGCCUCUCGAAUGAGGGAGGCGUCAAACGCGUAGUGUAAGGACUUGCUAAUUUGUUUUUUUCUUUUUCUAAUUUUGGCACCUUUUGGAAGGUAGUGCCACACGUGUUCCGGGCUUGUUGAGCGCAAAUACACAUUGUAGCAUGCACUGUAGCCAUAACUGUAGCAAUGACUGUAGCUUGCUGAUAUCGACAUUCCAAGUAGGGAGUCCGAAGCGCCAUUGGCAUUGGCAAUAUGGCCGCCUCCACGUAUUGCAUUGUCGUAAGUGGCGGCUGUUUCGUCCUGCUGGUCCUGUAAUGUUUUCGUCGAAAGAACAGGACCGCUAGCGCAGCGCCCAACGACGUGUCGUAGUGCGGCACCACAUCCACUCGUAGCACGACCUAUCAAAUGCGCGCAGAGCGUUUUAUGUCGCGGAAAUAGUGUCACAUGAAGAGGACGUCGUCGCAACAGCUGUGCCGAAACUAGCAAGCGGCUGCAUACGUGGGCGUCGGCGAGGUGGGCUACACGGAGUCGGUGUACCAGGAGAUGACGAGCGCCUGCCGAGGGGGUGAACUGCACACUUACCAGUGCAACCUGUGCAGCUACAAGACCGAGCGCAAGGCACACAUUUUGCGCCACUUACGCAGCCACACGGGCGAGCGGCCUUUUGUGUGCAUUUACUGCGAUCGCUCCUUUGUGCAUAAGCACCACCUGGACCGACAUUGCAAGACUGCCCAUCCACUGUACGAACAAUGAGCUGUGGCAUCAGCGGCAGAAUGCUUCUUGCAUCAGGAAGUGCAAACUGACAGGCCAGUUUAUUUGGCAACAGUGUCUGAAUCUGAGCCACUUAGUAUGUGGUGAUGGCAAACUGUCAGCUGAAUUGUGAUACAGGAAGCAACAUGUGAAAAGAUGAGAUGCACUGCUGAAUAUCAAUUACGCACAAGUAUCCUUGUUGAAAUGUUGACGUUACCAACAUUCCUUUUCAGCAUGAAAUGCUUUUAGCUCCCGUUGGCGACCUUCAAGGGACCUUGAGCCAAAAGCCAGAACUGUUAUCCGGGCACUCAAACCAGAUCAUCCGGCACUCAAACGAGAACAUUCGCGCAUCAUUGCGAGAACAAAGACGAGAUCAUCCGGGCAGCCAGUCAAAAGUUAGGAAAAUUCGGUCUCUGGCUCCCAGCGCUUUGUACAGGACCGCAUUUCAUACACUAGAUAAUUCCCCAAACAAGUUACAAAAAAUAUUGCUUGUUAUUUCUUCCUAACGUUUGUUCACAAUACCACUCAAGCUGUAACAAUUAGUAUGCCGAAGUUUUAUUUGUCAUUUUCAAUGGUGACGUUCAAAAGGCAGAUAGAGGUUGCCUGUGUUCUUUUGAACACCAGCAGUCCGUGAGUCGUGAGCGGUCUGUGACAAGAAGAAAAGGUAGCGACAGAUGCUGAGCACGCUGCACUGUUGGAAGAAGAAAAGCGGUUGUAGGCGGAGGCACCACAGGCAGCAAAAGACACCAUAUGGUAGUCAUUUCAUGCUUACAUCUACUUUCGAUUGCGGGAGAGCCAGCAUUUUUCUACCAGUGUUUAUCACUUUUUCACAGAGCUUUACACACUUUUAUUCACAACAUUAUAUGUACAAGGGUCGUCAAAAGUUUCCAAGCCACAGUUUGCCCGAACACGUUGACUUCGUGCCCUGUGGCGUGUCAUGUAUCGGAUGUUAAGUGGCCCAAGGUUACUUGAAGAGGGUAAGGGACACUGAAGAAGGGUUAACCCUUCUUUAUGAUGCUUCCCGACCAGACAGGCUUCCGUCAAAACCUCGACUUCGGUAAGGGACACUGUUUAUCGCCAUCCACAGCUCGUGACGGCCAAAAUUACUCCAGGGGCCGCGCCACUUGCUUGAGAGUGAAUGUGUUCACGCAAGCUGUGGCCUGGAAACCUUUGACGACCCCUGUACAUAUAUGUAUAGUGUAGAGGAUGGGUGCACAUUUGGGUGAUUGAAAGGGCAUUUGUGUGUGUUAGUGCAUGAUCUGUUGUUUUGAGCAGCAAGGAAAGCCUCCUGCACAGAGAAAGUGAAGCUGCACAGUGCUGUCAACCAUGCUGAAACACCAUGUUGAUUAGCUGAAACGGUGAUUAGUUCCCCAGCACUUCUACCUUCCCAACUCUCCAAUACAUGUUUCACUGGGAGAAUAACAGUUGAUAGUCAGUGGUGUGUCCCAUACCUUUGUUGUGUCUCUUCUUUCACAAUUUAGCUGACAGUUAGCCAUAACCAGAUUAGUAUUUGGCUUUAAAGUGGCACAGCACAUCCUUGACACUUGGUACAAGACUGAACAGAAGAAAAGGGUAUCCAUGGGUAUAGAAACUAUGGCUUGCAUAGGGGACCUGUGAGCAGGUGCAGUGCCAUGAUUUUUUUGUUAUGGGUAAAGCUUAAUUCUCCAUUUUCAUUGGGGGUGCAAGAGGGUAACUCAAUCACUUGGCACUUCACGGUUGUAGGAGGGGUGAAAUUAGAGGCAAGAGGAAAUACUAGGGGUUGGACCCCAUCCUCUCUCCUUUUCUUGCCCUCAUUAACGCUUGUAAUGGUAUCUGGAUAGCGCAGCAAAACACGGACACAAGAAGAAACAAAGACAAAUACUUGUCUUCGUUUCUUCUUGUGUCCGUGUUUUGCUGUGCUAUCCAGAUACCAUUCCAUGAUGACCGACCAACAAGCCCAUAUCGCCACCCUCGUCAAUCUCAUUAGAGCCACCCUUGCCUGUGAGCAAUUUGCAGCUAUUUGCUUGGGAAGAAGCUUAAGACUGCAGAGCGGAUGGGAAGAAAAUAAUGAACUUAAGCCUAAGAUUAAGAGACACGAAGGAAGCAGUAUGCUUUCUUCAACAAAUGUGAGUAGCUGAAAUAGUAUUGAGAUUAAGGGAUGGAGUAGGGCAGGUCAUGUGCUGGAUAGAGCAGAUAACCAGCCCUCUCUAGAAGUAAUACAACUGCUAAUGAAAGAACACACACUCAAGGACAGUAGAGUAUCCCUCUGACAUCUUCGGCUGUGUAGUACAUGUGCAGGCAGAGGAAAGAAUAGGCUGACUUUCGGCAGAGGUAAUUGGAGAUCGCUGGGAGAGGGCUCCAUUCUGUAUUGGACUUGUGCGAGUUGAUGAUGAUGACUGUGACUUGCUCAGGCAAUAAUUUGUCAUUCUAACUUGACCUACAUGAUAUUACACCAGUUUCUGGCAAACUAGUAAUAAUGCUGUCAUGGCUACUUUAGGCAACCAGGACUUCAGGAGAUUUAGUGCCCCAAUGUUCUAACUAAGCAGUUAAAGGUGGUGUGAUGGUUGGCUUUAGACUUUUUCUUGACCACCUGAGAUCUCUUAAUAUGCACCUAUAAAUACACAUGUUUUUGCUUUGCUUCUUCUGUGAUAUUGGCCGUGGUUCCAUGAUGACCUAUGGACUUUUCAUGAUCUUGGGCUGUUGCCUCCUCUUGGUAACUAGGCUAGGGCAUUUAGCAAGGAGUACAGAUGGGACAAAGACUCCUUUGUUUAGGGUUUGGAAAAGCAGGUGAAGUGGAAAGAGAACAUUGCUUUAGGAUGAGCCGAACCAAUGAUGCUGAAAUGUGCAACGCCCACUUUGUGCAGGCCUUCAGGAGUACUGGUCAUUUUUCUGGCUCCUUGAAUAUGUCUGUGUGACCAGCCAGUUAACACAUAAUGCAAGCUGGUUGGGGACACAAUUAAUGUCACUUCGACUUGUCCUGUGUGUCGUCAUUGUGCUGUUUUUGCUUAAAAUUGUUGGUCAGAUCUGCAGUGAAGCAAGCUUUCCAAAGGUAGCCGUCAAGGACCUCCAUGAGGAAGGGACGUGCGGUGACUAAUAUUUAAUGAAAGAAGGCUCACAGACAGUUGAUGCAACUGCUGAAGUGCUUGUUGGAGUGAAUUAUGGCUUGGUACAGCAAGGUGCAAGUGUGCUGUGUUGAAGAUUUGCAUGUUUUGCUUAUGUGGCAAAGUUCUUGAUGUGGUAAAAAAGGCACUGCACAGCAGGGACCAUAUGUGCUCGUUUGUGAAGUAAAUGAAUAUAUGGGUCCAAACACCCACACAAAGACCCAGAGGUGGACUUUUUUUUCCAUAAGCUGACGCUCAAUAGAGAAGCACGUCUGGUAUCAGGCUGCACGAAGCAAGCCAUAUUUCUCGAACAUACAUAGUCCAGUGCCUUGAGCUUGGCUUUCUGAAAAGCUGGAAUAACCAUUCAUG